rnacentral:rRNA from 1 species
CGUAUCACCCAAGACAACUUUACGGAGUUGACGAUUGACGGAGCGAAGCGACGUCAAAGCGUUCAUUAAAGUCGAGUUGGCUUAGGGAUACGUUCGUUGGGUAGGGGAGCGUUCUGUAAGCCUGUGAAGGUGUGUCGUGAGGCAUGCUGGAGGUAUCAGAAGUGCGAAUGCUGACAUAAGUAACGAUAAAGCGGGUGAAAAGCCCGCUCGCCGGAAGACCAAGGGUUCCUGUCCAACGUUAAUCGGGGCAGGGUGAGUCGACCCCUAAGGCGAGGCCGAAAGGCGUAGUCGAUGGGAAACGGGUUAAUAUUCCCGUACUUGGUGUUACUGCGAAGGGGGGACGGAGAAGGCUAUGUUG